CGAAGGAUGCAAGCGUUAUCCGGAUUCAUUGGGUUUAAAGGGAGCGUAGGUGGCCUUAUAAGUCAGCGGUGAAAUCUCUCAGCUUAACUGAGAAAUUGCCAUUGAUACUGUAGGGCUUGAGUACAGAUGCCGUUGGCGGAAUAUGACAUGUAGUGGUGAAAUACAUAGAGAUGUCAUAGAACACCGAUUGCGAAGGCAGCUGACGAAACUGUAACUGACACUGAGGCUCGAAAGUGCGGGGAUCAAGCAGGAUUAGAUACCCUGGUAGUCCGCACUGUAAACGAUGAUUACUCGCUGCUGGAGGGCAACCUUCAGUGGCUUAGCAAAAGCGAUAAGUAAUCCGCCUGGGGAGUACGCCGGCAACGGUG
rnacentral:rRNA from 1 species